UCAGUAGCAACAGACACCUUGCCCCAUACAUGUACCACACACUCCCAGCAUUCCCGGGACCUGGCUUUGAUUUUCCUGUAUGUCUAUUCAUAUCUGCCCUCUGACCUUUCCCAGCCUGGGUUCUCUUUCAAGGGAGGAGGAGAGAAGCAGGUCGGACACAACUGUGAUCUGGACUGCUUGGAAGCCAGUCAGGCCUGACGAGACUGCCACUGGGGAUCCCAGCCUGGCAUCGGAGAACCACCCCGCCUCGCCCAGGACCCCCGCUCCUCAGUCACAACUUCCUGACUCUGCUCCUAGCCCCAUUCUCCAUGAGCUCUCAUUAUCUAAGCGCCAAUGCAAGCUGUCUUUGUGUGCCUCCAGCCCCCAGCAACCAUGGCUGCAGACCUGUUGUGACCUCCUGCACAUCUGCUCUGUGUCUGAAUUUCUCCAUCUGUGAAAUGGGUGCACAAUUAAAUGUGGCCAGCAGGGGCGUUGGAACA